UACGGAGGAUGCGAGCGUUAUCCGGAUUUAUUGGGUUUAAAGGGUGCGCAGGCGGAAGAUCAAGUCAGCGGUAAAAUUGAGAGGCUCAACCUCUUCGAGCCGUUGAAACUGGCUUGCUAGAGUGGGCGAGAAGUAUGCGGAAUGCGUGGUGUAGCGGUGAAAUGCAUGGAUAUCGCGCAGAACUCCGAUUGCGAAGGCAGCAUGCCGGCUCCACACUGACGCUGAGGCACGAAAGCGUGGGGAGCAAACAGG
rnacentral:rRNA from 1 species